rnacentral:rRNA from 2 species
AGCGGACAGAAGGGAGCUUGCUCCCGGAUGUUAGCGGCGGACGGGUGAGUAACACGUGGGUAACCUGCCUGUAAGACUGGGAUAACUCCGGGAAACCGGAGCUAAUACCGGAUAGUUCCUUGAACCGCAUGGUUCAAGGAUGAAAGACGGUUUCGGCUGUCACUUACAGAUGGACCCGCGGCGCAUUAGCUAGUUGGUGGGGUAAUGGCUCACCAAGGCGACGAUGCGUAGCCGACCUGAGAGGGUGAUCGGCCACACUGGGACUGAGACACGGCCCAGACUCCUACGGGAGGCAGCAGUAGGGAAUCUUCCGCAAUGGACGAAAGUCUGACGGAGCAACGCCGCGUGAGUGAUGAAGGUUUUCGGAUCGUAAAGCUCUGUUGUUAGGGAAGAACAAGUGCGAGAGUAACUGCUCGCACCUUGACGGUACCUAACCAGAAAGCCACGGCUAACUACGUGCCAGCAGCCGCGGUAAUACGUAGGUGGCAAGCGUUGUCCGGAAUUAUUGGGCGUAAAGGGCUCGCAGGCGGUUUCUUAAGUCUGAUGUGAAAGCCCCCGGCUCAACCGGGGAGGGUCAUUGGAAACUGGGAAACUUGAGUGCAGAAGAGGAGAGUGGAAUUCCACGUGUAGCGGUGAAAUGCGUAGAGAUGUGGAGGAACACCAGUGGCGAAGGCGACUCUCUGGUCUGUAACUGACGCUGAGGAGCGAAAG